UAUCAUCUGUUGAUUUAUUUUGAUUUUAAAUCAGUUUUUAUUUUGGUUUGUAUUCUAAUUUAUUAAUACUUUAAUACGCUGUGCAUCUAGCAAUUACAUCAAAUAGUUCAAUUUUCAUCUAGUCGAGUCUAAAACAAUUAUGUUACGCAUAACUGAAUCUUCCAAUAUUCAAUUUGAGUUGAAAUUGAGUUUUGAAAGAAACGUUGUUUUAUAACCAAUCAUUUUGCAAUGGACAAAUCCAAGGAAGGAUUUACACUUGUUACUUCAUAGCCAUAAAAAGCUUGGAAAUUUCCUGGAAACAAUUGAAUUGAAACGCUAUUCUCUGACUAAAGAUCCGGAAUUAUAUGGAUAUGGAUAAACUCAAAGUAGAGCGAGGUAAAAACAAUUAGGAGACAAAAAAGGACAAACAUAGUUCCAUCUCAGCCCAAAGACGAUGUUGCGAGCUCAUUGAAUCUUUCCGUUAAUUUUGCAUUCAAUUAGAUUCUAUGAUUUUUUAAACUAUUGCUUUUCCUCCAUGAAUAACUGUUUAUAUCUUCAUUCCAACUCUUUUUGCAACUCUAAAGGAACAGUUUCAAUCUUCUCUUUCACUUUCAUCUUUAAUAUUUUAAUUCAUCACUUAAUCAUUUUACAAUUACUAUUUAAAUUUCCCUCUCGCAUACGACCGUUUAACUUAUCUGUUUGGAUUUGAUCUUUUUAUCGAGUAUUUUCAGUCUUGAUAUCGGUAUUAACAAUCCUUUAAUAAGGUUAAAGAUAAUUAUAAAUAACUCGGGUUUGAAAUAUAAUCUUGUCAUGUUUGCUCAUUAAUCAGAACGAGCUCCACGAUUCCACUGAUUGUUAAUAGCAACCCAUUUGAACCAUAUGAAUAUUUUUCGUCAUUAUACUUCAACAUCAUCAUCAGGUAACAUUGAACCAUCAUUGGAAUAUUUUUCACGGAUAAUAAUCAGUUAGGAAACUUACAGUGAGCGUAACUCUCAUAAAACUACAAUUGUAUCAACUGUAAUGAAAGCUAACUCUAUUAGACUAAUGUUUGGAUCAAAUUUAGGUUCAAAUGUUUAAAAUUAAUGCUUUAAUUAACUACCCUGUUGUUUAUUGUUACCAGUUUAAUGAAAUGGAAAAAAAUCCUCUAUUUCUUUUCUUUUCUUGUUUUUCAGAGUUCAAUUUCGUUCACUCUUUUUUUCCAAUUCAUGAAAGUAAAAAAUAAAAUCAAACUAAUCCCUGUUGAUCUUUAACCUUGAGACUUUUGUAGAAACGAAUUAAGUGAUUAAUUAUUUGGCUGAUAAUACCUUAAAUCAUUACACUCUCUAUCUUUAACUAUUAGAACAAAUGAGUACUCAAUGACAGAGGCUACUGCAAAAUAACUAAUGUUACUGCAAAAGCUGGGUAAAUAAGGAAAAAGGUAGUAAGGUUCAAAAGAACGAAUUGAGGAAGCUUAACUAAUUUUCUCGAUAUUAAUUUUGUUAAUGACUAUUCUGGUGUUAAAUUAACGUUUCUCAAAUUAAUUGAACCGCAAUAUGUUUAAAGGACUAAGAUGGUUUCCGUGAAAAGAGGUUCAACAUUUAGUGUCUUAACACGAGCAACACAUGGAUCCAACCAUUGGAGGGAAAUCGGAUUACAACAAAGGAGAUGAUAAACCUUAAUGAUGAUUUCUUUACUACAAGCUACUACCGAGAGCGAUAGUUUUGUUAAUCAAUGGUUGAAUAAUAGUUAAACAAUAGAACCUGUUGAUGGUUUUAAUUACAAGUCACAGGAUCCAACCACUGUUAAAUUUAGGUUGAAUUGGAAGGCAGUUACAUAAACAAGCAACAAUCAAUCAACCAGGCAACAAACAAGCAGCCAUCUACACACACACACACACACACACACACACACACUCACACUCAGAGACAGAAACGAAUUAAAUCAAGCUAAAACUGGAAUAUGACAAUUUUCAUUGCUGUUAAAUAUAUUUAUAAUUUUAUCCUUCUCUCUCUACAUCUCUCUCGCUUACACACCUCACAUACAAAUGUAAACACAUUAAAUUUUUCUUGAGCAGCUCGUUCAUUCGCACGCUUCACUGGCUGAACAAGUUAAAUUGUCUACAGAUUAAGAAAGCUAACUUUCUAUUAUAAAACUGUCUCAAGAGCUGAUUGAUCGAGAAGGAGAGAGAUGCAUCAAUUGAAUGUGCUUGAGAAAUUGUGUCAAUUACUGUUUGGUUGCUGGAUAUGGAUGGAGCAGGAGAGAAACAAACAAGCAAAAUAAUAAUAAGAUGAAGUGAAGAGAAACAAAAAAACACUGCAAAAGGAAUAAGGUAAAGGAGUAACGUUAUGAAUGCAACAAUUAAAUUUUGGACCAAAAAUGGAUGACCUUGAAUUUUUUUCAUCCACUAAAAGGAAUAUCAAUUGUUUUCCAACUGGUUGACCUUCAAGGUUCUGAUAAUUCAGCAAGCUGACUGAACACUGUUUUAUUUCGCUGUUGUACUCUCUUUUGGUUGUUGCGAACAGCCAAACGUAACGUUUGCUGUUGCCAUUAUAUAUUAUUAAUAGCAACUCAAUAUAAACAACCGUAAACACGCAAAAUGCUCUACUGUUGCCGCUUUUUGAAACAAUUUACAGAUGAUAAUCAUGAUAACUACAGUGAUUACGAUGAUGAAAUCCAUUGAUGAGAUUAUUGAAAGGCUGUUAAUGUAAACAAAUUACGCUUCAAUUCCCUUCAACUUCAAUCAAUAAUGUAACUAGAGAGAUAGAUCACAUCACAUCAUAUGAUAUUUUAUUUUUCCUGAUGAAAUGCUGCCAAUGAUUAUUUAUUUUCUUUACUCUGCUGUUUUGUUAUUGUAAUAAUAAUAAUACAUGACGAUCAUCACCAUUAUCAUCAUCGUUCUGAUGAUUAUUAUGAUGAAUAAGUUGAUUGCUAAUGAUUGUACAAAGAUGGUUAAUGUCUCAUGUAAUGUGAUUAACUUGUUGGUGGCUCCAGUUGUUUUACCAAUGUCUAUCAUCUUCUAAUUAAUCCAAUUAGACAGUAUAUUAGUCACAAAUUCACAUUUCAAUUGAUGAUUCCUGUUGAUCAGAUAGUUAAAUGACAAUCAGCGAGAUCAUCAUACUCCAAUGAACGCUGGUUGGAUGAAACAUUUGUCAAUUUACACUUCAAUUUUCAACUUGGAUACAACAGCAACUUGAUAUAUCGUAACUUAAUCAAAAGAAACGUGAAAACCAAACCUUGUGGAUUCAUUUCAAUUGUAAAUUUACCACUACAAAUUACAAUUGAAAUAAUUAACCGUAGAUGUAACUGUUUAACUUUAUCCUAAUAAUCAGCAAUUAAUCGUCUCUCCUCUAAUCUAACUUUGAUUAGUCUAGCUCAAGUAUAGAAGAAGGUAAACCAAAAAGUUAUUAUUAAUAUCAUAACGUUAGUAUCUUAUAUUAAUUCCUUACGGUACUUUACCUUGAUUGUUGAUUAACUUUUUAUCUUACCAGAAAUUUUAUCAUAAAUUAACAAGUUUCCGUCAUCAAUAUAAGAUUUAUUAUUAAUAAUAACUUAUUAUACACACACACACAUUCAAUUAUUAUUAGUCUUUGAUUGUAUAAGUGUAAACUUGGCUUUAAUUCAGCGGUUGCUUCAGUAUAGUCUCAAGACUAAAAUCUUAAUCACAAGUGUCACUUGUUAAACCACAGAUAAAAGCUAAUUGAUUUAACUGAAUCUCCUAAAUAUCAGAUCUAAUAAUAAUGACAAUUGUAUCCAUCUAAAUGAGUAGCAAUCCUUUUUCAAUAUUGAUCAAAACUGAAGACAAAAUAUUAAAUCUAAUGCAAACAACCCGAUCAAAAGCAAAAAUUUCAAUCAAGACUAACAAUGGUAAUUUAUUAAUUAUAAUUUAUUAUGCUUACAGAUGAUAAUUUAUAUUCCUAACAAUAAAAAUGUCAAUGAACUGUCAA